AACCAUAGAAACCUGCGGAGUACCUGCGGAGGGAUCAUUAUAGUAUAUGGAAUCUCCAUUCUAUAAACCCACUCUGCGUAUCUUGUAACUGUUGCUUCCAUGGGACUUGGUUCCGCCACACCGGCUUCACGGCUAGUGAGCGCCCAUGGAAGGAGAAACAAAACUCUUCUUUGAAAUGUAGUCAGUCUGAACAAGUUUUUAUAAACGUUAAAACUUUUAGCAACGGAUCUCAGAUCGGAA
rnacentral:misc_RNA from 1 species